GUCCACGCCCUAACGAUGGAUACUCGACAUACGCGAUACACAGUGUGUGUCUGAGCGAAAGCAUUAAGUAUCCCACCUGGGAAGUACGAUCGCAAGAUUGAAACUCAAAGGAAUUGGCGGGGUCCGGCACAAGCGGUGGAGCAUGUGGUUUAAUUCGAUGAUACGCGAGGAACCUUACCUGGGCUAGAAUGUUGGGAGACCGUGGGUGAAAGCUCACUUUGUAGCAAUACACUGCCAAUAAGGUGCUGCAUGGCUGUCGU
rnacentral:rRNA from 1 species